rnacentral:rRNA from 1 species
GGGCUGCAGUAUUUUGACUGUACAAAGGUAGCAUAAUCAAUAGUCUCUUAAUUGGUGACUUGUAUGAAAGAUUGGAUGAAAUAUAGACUGUCUCUAAUUAAUUUAUAAAAAUUAAUUUUUUAGUAAAAAAGCUAAAAUAAUUUUAAAAGACGAGAAGACCCUAUAGAGUUUAAUAAUUUAUUUAAUUAUUAUUAAUAUAUAAUUUUUAAAAUUAAAAUUAAAUAAAUUAUUUUGUUGGGGUGAUAGAAAAAUUAAAUUAACUUUUUUUAUUUAUUUACAUUAAUUUAUGAUUAAAUGAUCCAUUUAUAAUGAUUAAAAGAAAAAAUUACCUUAGGGAUAACAGCGUAAUUUUUUUUUUUAGUUCAAAUAGGAAAAAAAGUUUGCGACCUCGAUGUUGGAUUAA